GUCGGGCGCGGUGGCACGUGCUGGUAAUCCCGGCUACUCGGGAGGCUGAGGUGGGAGGAUCACUUGAGCCCAGGAGUUCUGGGCUGUAGUGCGCUAUGCCGAUCUGGUGUCCGCACUAAGUUCAGCAUCCAUAUGGUGACCUCCCGGGAGCGGGGGCCCACCAGGUUGCCUAAGGAAGGGUGAAAGAGCUCAGGUUGGAAACGAAGGUGGUCAAAAAUCCAGUGCUGAUCAGUAGUGGGAUCGUGCCUGUGAAUAGGCACUGCACUCCAGCCUGGGCAAUAUAGGGAGCCCCCGUCUCU
rnacentral:SRP_RNA from 1 species